UACGUAGGGCGCAAGCGUUGUCCGGAAUUAUUGGGCGUAAAGAGCUCGUAGGCGGCCUGUUGCGUCCGCUGUGAAAUCCCGGGGCUUAACCCCCGGGCUUGCAGUGGAUACGGGCAGGCUGGAGGCAGGCAGGGGAGAACGGAAUUCCCGGUGUAGCGGUGAAAUGCGCAGAUAUCGGGAGGAACACCGGUGGCGAAGGCG
rnacentral:rRNA from 1 species